GCGGGUGUAGUUCAAUGGUAGAACUUCAGCCUUCCAAGCUGAUAGCGUGGGUUCGAUUCCCACCACCCGCUCCA
rnacentral:tRNA from 2 species